rnacentral:rRNA from 1 species
CGGGUUCGCAUUGUAAUUUGUAGAGGAUGCUUUGGGUAAAACGCCAGUCUAAGUUCCUUGGAACAGGACGUCAUAGAGGGUGAGAAUCCCGUAUGUGACUGGAAAUGUUAACCUAUGUAAAGCUCCUUCGACGAGUCGAGUUGUUUGGGAAUGCAGCUCUAAAUGGGAGGUAAAUUUCUUCUAAAGCUAAAUAUUGGCGAGAGACCGAUAGCGCACAAGUAGAGUGAUCGAAAGAUGAAAAGCACUUUGGAAAGAGAGUUAAAAAGCACGUGAAAUUGUUGAAAGGGAAGCGCUUGCAAUCAGACUUGUUUAAACUGUUCGGCCGGUCUUCUGACCGGUUUACUCAGUUUGGACAGGCCAGCAUCAGUUUCGGCGGCCGGAUAAAGGCUCUGGGAAUGUGGCCUCCACUUCGGUGGAGGUGUUAUAGCCCAGUGUGUAAUACGGCCAGCCGGGACGAGGUCCGC